rnacentral:ncRNA from 1 species
GAUAGAGGUGCGGUAUUGCGUGUAAGGGAGAGGAGGCUGCCAGAGCCGGUGAUUCUUCGUGAAGAGCCUUAUCGCCGAAGGAAGUACAUGGCAGGUACUUGCCUGGUUAUGCGUUGGAGUCAGCGCCUGACUGUCAUCAUAGAGUAUAUGAUGGGGAGCUAUCGU